GUCUGUCAUAAUGAUUGCAUAGUUAUUAAUAGCCCUUCAAGCCUUUUGGAAAAUAUAUAAUUUGAGUAUUUUUUUGAAUGGAAUUCGAGUAGAUUCCAGUUCAACUGGUCAGCGGUCCCCAUAAGUAACCUGUUCAUCAACAAACUUGUAACAAAGCUGAACAGAGAAAGCAAGCUACUGAAGCAGUUACAAGAAUGGACAACACAAGAAAUACACUUCAACUUACAGUCAUCCCAUUCAGCAGUUUUAUAUCCAGAGAAGUUAAAAGUGUUGUGUAAAGGGCCAGGAGCUGCAAUUAGGCAUUGGGUGACACAGCUUGUGAAGUCUAUAGAGUUACAAAGUGAUCUACAAUGUGAGUGGGGAACAGUUUGAGGACACCAAACAAGCCUUACUGGAGCGAAGAGCUGCUUUGACAAGGGAGAUAACAACAACAUUGAGAGAUGUUGGCCAUUUUGAGCAUGAGGUGGAGAGAAUCACAGCAGAGGUGACCCAGACAGAGCGAAAGUAACAGCAGGUUCAGGAAGUCAUCACCAACUCCAGUCCUCCUUAUUCUUUUUUUCUUUGAAACCUGCUGACACAGCAGGUCAGUAUAAGGAAUGUGUGAGGCAUUUUCACACCAGGACAGCUGUCAUCAAAGCCCGGGCGCAGAAAGGCUGGAAACAGAAGAGUAUUAUAGUCGAGAGGCAGCGGGUGGAGAACUUGACUGGGAGGAAGAAACUGAUGGAAAGACACCCCCCACUAGAAAUUGCUUCCAUGGUUCAAGUAUGAUGGUGGAGAAGUGAGGGAUCUGGCUAGUUAGCCAUCCUUAUACAAGAGUUUACAUCAGUUAUUGCAGGAAAGGCUUGGAGAAGGAGGAGUAUCAUAGGCAGGAGGCAGCAGGUGGAGAUAGUGAUGUGGAGGAGGAAACAGAGGGAAAGACACCUGCACUGGAGAUUGCUUCCAUGGUUCAAGUAUGAUGGUGGAGAAGUGAGGGAUCUGGCUAGCUGGCCAUCCUUAUACAAGAGUCUACAUCAGUUAUUACAGCAAAGGCUUGGAGAAGGAGUAUUAUAGACGGGAGGCAGCAGGUGAAGAUAGUGAUGUGGAGGCUGAAAUGGAGGAAAAGACACUCGCACUGGAGAUUGCUUCCAUGGAGAGGAACAAGGAACACUUCCUCAGUUUCGUCCAGUGUCUGAAGUCAACGAUGAUCGGAAUUUAGAGCAGUCUGUUUCCAUGGUGAAGUCAUGUAUUGAGUAGAAACUUCACAAACUCUUCUCACAGAAAUCUACAGACCUGAAACUUGCCAGUAUCCUGAACAUAGCUGUAAUGGACCAGUCUAUACACCAGACCUCUUCUGUCCAUAUCAGACCUGAUUUGUGUAACAGUCUUCUGUGUUAGAGUGCCUCAACUUUAAAAUAUUCCAGAUUGCACGUGAGAGUGACAGUCAACAGUUACGACAGACAUUACCAUGGUUACAGGAGAUUUCCUGCACCAACCAGGCCCUAGACAACUGUACACAUGCCAGGCAGGCAGCGGACGACUGGUAUAGAAUAGUUUACAUAUAUAUACAGGCUGAGUAUUGUGUCAAAGAAGAUAAGAUGGUGAAUGUUGGUUUUAUCUCCAACAGGUGUAAUUGCUCAUGGCCCCAGUGUUGGUUUCUAUCCAGAUAAUGUACUUGGCAAUGAUUUUUUAAGUUAUCAGCUUUUGUGACCAAUGAACUCAACAGAACUUAUAUUAUGAACUAAACACUUAAAUUGUAUUUUCUUGAUUGGAAUAUUUUGUCUGUUAUUAUCACCAAUAUAAUACUUCUAGUUGGGGGAGCUAUCCUGCAAAUACCAUGGAGUUAUAUAUUCUUGCUUAACACACUUUAAAGGCAAGGACCCCUGUUGUCACAGGCUUAAAGACAGUCUCACGGAUUACAUGUAUUUCACCCAUCACUGAUUCAAAUUUGAGACACUCAUAGUUGAUUUAUCCAGGUAUUGUUUUUUAUUUAUCCAAGUUACAGCUUAAUAACUCAAACAAGGUAUUCUACAAAUAGACUUGGCGUUACUGACAUCAUCAUGCAUUACUUUUAUUUAUAUACUGUUGGAAUUGUCAUAAACUUUAAACUUAUGUUUCUUCCUAUGUAAUUGAAUGUACAUUGACUGUCUGGAAUGUUUGAGACUAAGUAUGUAUCUUUACACAUGCUAAAUAAGAAUAUAAUUAAGAAUAUUGAGCUCUUGAUUACCAUUCAUGUCUUAAAUGCUGAUUUUUAAAUGGAUUAAAUCACUAGAAUGGGAGAAGUGUUGCUAUGAAACCUAUGUUUCUCAGAGCACUUAUUUUUUUUUUUACUGCCAUUCAGAAGUACAGUCUUGGUUGAAUAUUAAUUUCUAGAUUUAAGCACUAAAAGCCUGAUGAUUAUGUGAUGUUUGCUGUACCUUCUGCUAGGUUUCGCUGUCUUCUGAGGUUAAAACAAUUCGAAAAAAGAAAAUAGAAAUAGAUGCUUUUAACCUUACUGUUAAACAAAUGACAUCAACUUCAUGCACAGAUCAGUAUGCUGUUAUGAGUUUUUUUUACCAGUAUUUAAAGAGCAUAAAAAUACAGUACCAUUUCUUUUCGUGCGUUAUAUUACAACUUACAUGUUUAUACAUUACUUUCAACUGUGAAAUGUGAUAGACCAUGUUUUCUAUACCAGGUGGUUGGAGCCCAGCCAGAACGGUGUCUCCUGGAUGACUGUAGAUGACCACACCUUACAGCAGUUCAUGGACAGAUGGACGGUCCUAGUGACCAUCUUUAAGACAACAGCUUCUACACAACCAGUGAGGGAGACCAACUUUCAUCUGUGAUUGCACAUAGACAAUUAACAAUGUACCUCCAAUUGCUCUGACAGAAAUGAAGGCAGGUGUGCUGUGGUCAAGUUAUAAACUAAGGAAAACUGAGUUUUGCCCCAUUAAGCUUAAAGAGGCUUAAUUUCAGAGCCCUACUGGAUGAGCAGAUCAUUCUUUAUCGGAAAACGUCACAUACGCAAUCAUCAAAGUAAACCUCUUAUUUAAAUAAACUAAAUUAGUGUUAAUGCAGACAUCAAGCGGCCUUGAAGGAUGUGGUCAAAUGCUGACAUAUAUAUAUACAUGUUUACAUAAUUGAAUACAAGUCUGUUACUUUAAUAUAUAAAAUUAUGUAAAAUGUGAAAAUAAGUGACAGCUGAAAAGUUAAAGGACCUAAUUGUGUAAACCAUAAUUACAUACUUGA